GCAUUAAUGGGGUAGUGGUAACCUGGGUCGUUGCCACCAACGGUCGUUUCGACCCGCCGGGGGUUCGAUUCCCCCUUAAUGCA